CACGGGGUCACGGCGAUGGCUUGGUCUUUUUCCAUUUCCGAUGUUUUGACGAGCAAUGCCAUUGAAUCACACAAUUGACUAAUGAAUAAAUGUUUCCAGUCGUUUGUGAUUUCGUUUUUUCAUUCUUCCAGUCGUUUGUUGAUAAGAACUAAGCAAUAUGACUGAGCCUUGUUCCUAACUAUUGAGGAUCACUAUCUUCCCUUAACAGGGUGAAAACGAGGGCCAUCACACUGACCACUAUAUGCAGCCAUCUCCUGUUACUGGACCUGUACCUCUGGUUGGUCAAACACACUUUAUCCUCUUCAGUCUGCGGGUGAUGGACCUUCACUUUAACCUGAUAUGAACUCCAAUCCUGUCCACAGAUCCACCCAUCUUUACCGCGUCAUCAUUCCGGUACAAUGGUCUGUCUUUGGCGUACUUCCUCUUCCUGCUCAUCCUCCCACUCCUCCCAAACCCC
ensembl:lncRNA